rnacentral:rRNA from 1 species
UACGUAGGGUGCGAGCGUUGUCCGGAAUUAUUGGGCGUAAAGAGCUCGUAGGCGGUUUGUCGCGUCUGCUGUGAAAUCUCAAGGCUCAACCUUGAGCUUGCAGUGGGUACGGGCAGACUAGAGUGUGGUAGGGGAGACUGGAAUUCCUGGUGUAGCGGUGAAAUGCGCAGAUAUCAGGAGGAACACCGAUGGCGAAGGCAGGUCUCUGGGCCACUACUGACGCUGAGAAGCGAAAGCAUGGGGAGCGAACAGG